AUGUUUCUUUGUAGUUGUGCUACAACGCUUCACCAUCGCCAUUUUGAAGCUCCAGGAGAGCCCAUUUUAUUGGUUACUUUGGUCAGGUUUUUUUGUUGGGAGUACAGUUCGGUGAUGAUCCAGUCCAAAGAUGGCGAGCCACCCCUCCAGGAUCCUUACGAUGAUUGUUUUAAAAGAGAACUAAAUUCUUUGGACGAGCCGUGAACUGUACAAACUCCACUUAAGUGGUAGGACAGAUUUACACUUCAUUCCUCCUUUGCACAUCCUGCAAGGAGAACCCUCAUUGCUGGACUCACACUUAAGGGUGUCGGCUGACACAAAAGAGAGAGACUGAUUCAAAUUCCCCGGGGUGUGUGUGUUUUGUUUAUUAUUUUCCGUGACUUGGGCCCAAUUUUUCCUUUCAUGUACUGUUAUUGUUUUCAUUGUAUGUAUGUGCGAUUCUUUAAUUGUGAAUACAAUUUGAUCAAACCAAGUUCUUUGAGCGUUUCAUUAGUCAUCCACUCUGCUCCAGUAGUCGAACCUCAGCUAUUGGCCCAACACACAGGUAACCGUUUAAAUCUGUAUCCCAAGUGUUGAAAGGGGUGUUACAUAAGCAACUACUGAAUGAUGGCUGUGAACUUGAAGUGAACUCAUUUAUAAUAUUGCUUUUUGUAUAUUAUAAUAACCUGCUGACUUAUGAUGUUUAAAACUUACACUGUGAUAUACACAACAUGUUUAUAGUAUUAACAUUGUCAGCUCUCACUCCAAGAUGCUUUUUUUUGUAUUUACUGACUGACAGUCAGUGGAAGAGUCUGAGUUAACAGACUUUAGUGUUUCCCUUUUCAUUUGUUAAAAUAGCGCCACCUUGUGACAUUUCUUUAUACUAAAGCAAACACUACUCUGGAUUCAGUGGACUGGAUAGGUUCAUUGUUCUUGUUUAAACUUUGAAAAUACAAGUGUCUGUGUUUUUAUUUCUUUUUUCUUUGCACAUCUACUCCAACCUGAGACACCAACUUUUGAGUUCAGAUGGCUGGCAUGGGAUUGUUGGUGUGGGAUGCUUUAUAGGAAACAAACUUCAAAUAAACUUGUGGAGAACAGUCCCAUAAAUUUAAUUUUUUAAGACGUGACUUAAACAAAGUGACUGACUUUAUGCAGGUUAGUUCAGACCCUCAAACUCAUGACCUGAACCCUUGAGUUAGGGUCCUAAAGUAGGAGACCAUGCGAGGCUUCAAAUCUAAUCAAUAAAAGUUUUAAAUUGAUUGCAUAUCUAACAGAGGGCUAGUGUUGUGUAAUGAAGAUGGAGUAAUGUGGUUUUGUUAAAAAGUGGGGAAGCUGGGUUUAAAAAUUCAGGGAUUAGUUUCUUCAUACAAGCUGCUUCCUGCAUUGUUUAGGAGUUUAUAGACUCACAGCAAGUUUAAAAAACAGUAUUGUAAGUUCUUCUAGAUCAAAAAAGAGAUUCAGAUUUCUGUGUUUGUGUUGGUGCUGAAACUGGUUCCAUUUUAAUAAGUCACAGGACAUAUUAAGUCAUCUCCAAGAAGACAGUCUACAGGAAAUAUUCCCCAUAGACUCCAGACCACAAAAACUAAGUAGUUUCCUUCCAAGACAUCAAUGUCACAACAGCUACACAAACCUCAGUCAAUACAAACAACACAAAUUGACUGAAAUUCAUUGGUCUUCACUAGUUGGUUUAAAUAAACUCAGUAAAAACUAAGUAAUGGCAGCUUUUUGUAUUCUCCUAAAAUCUCUUCAUCAUGUGCAGAAUAUUGUAAGACCCUGCGUAUAUCAGCAAAUACCAGCAAACUAGAAACAGGAACACAAAAACCAAAAGGUACAAACACAUCACCUUCUUCCAUAUAAGCACCACGAUGUUCUUAGUGGUUCGUUAGUUGAAUUUGAAGUUGUUUCUGAUUACAAAGCUCUUGGUACUGUGUGGGACUUCCUCUGAGAUGAACACAGGAAGUGUUUAAACCUACUUUCACCUCACAAUUUAAUUUUGAAUGAGACAACGUCACAACCCAACAGACGAUCUCACUUUAAAGUGGUGUGACUGACUUGGCUGAUUAGUGAACAGUGAAAACUUCUAAUCGAUUCACAAAAGGCCGAGUCAAAGGAGUUUCUGAGCCUCUUUUUCCCAAACCUUCUCUGCUCUCAUAAGCAUUUUACCAACAGUACAAAUACCUAUGAAAUGCUUUGCUUUCACUGUAAUUACAAAUUAAAUAGUUUAUUUAAUGCUUGGAUUCAACAAAAAUGAAUCAGCCAUUAAUUUCACCUGACCCUGAACUUUUGCACGUGGAAAAAAACAUUUUUUUAUGUUUUCCUGUAGAUCAUGGCUUCCUCUUGGACCCUUUCAGGUGGAACUCUUUCUAUCCAAGUGACUUUUCUCAGACUUCCAGAAAGUAGUCACAGAGCGUCCUCAUGCAAUCAAAACAACCCUAUAGUUCACAAAAUAGGUCCUUUUGAACACCCGUUCAGUUCAGCUUCUCCCAAAUCAAACCUGAGUCAUCAGUCUAAUUCAAACUGUGUGUGACAAGUGCUUGAUCACAUGUGUAAUUAUUAUCAGGUGUAAUUUUGGUAAGUAAUCCAAGUUAGAGUACUACAGUCAUACUAACCUGACAUGAGUCAGCACUUAAACUGCGUAUGUUGAUACAUACUCUAUAUUACCAAAAGUAUUUGCUC
rnacentral:lncRNA from 1 species